AAUGAACGCUGGCGGCAGGCCUAACACAUGCAAGUCGAGCGAAGUCUUCGGACUUAGCGGCGGACGGGUGAGUAACGCGUGGGAACGUGCCCUUUGCUUCGGAAUAGCCCCGGGAAACUGGGAGUAAUACCGAAUGUGCCCUAUGGGGGAAAGAUUUAUCGGACAAAGGAUCGGCCCGCGUUGGAUUAGGUAGUUGGUGGGGUAAUGGCCUACCAAGCCGACGAGCCAUAGCUGGUUUGGGAGGAUGGUCAGCCACACUGGGACUGAGACACGGCCCAGACUCCUACGGGAGGCAGCAGUGGGGAAUCUUAGAAAAGGGGCGCAAGCCUGAUCUAGCCAUGCCGCGGGAUCGAUGAAGGCCUUAGGGUUGUAAAGAUCUUUCAGGUGGGAAGAUAAUGACGGUACCACCAGAAGAAGCCCCGGCUAACUCCGUGCCAGCCGCCGCCGUAAAAC
rnacentral:rRNA from 1 species